AGUGAACGCUGGCGGUAGGCCUAACACAUGCAAGUCGAACGGCAGCACAGUAAGAGCUUGCUCUUACGGGUGGCGAGUGGCGGACGGGUGAGGAAUACAUCGGAAUCUACUUUUUCGUGGGGGAUAGCGUAGGGAAACUUACGCUAAUACCGCAUACGACCUACGGGUGAAAGCAGGGGAUCUUCGGACCUUGAGCGAUUGAAUGAGCCGAUGUCGGAUUAGCUAGUUGGCGGGGUAAAGGCCCACCAAGGCGACGAUCCGUAGCUGGUCUGAGAGGAUGAUCAGCCAAACUGGAACUGAGACACGGUCCAGACUCCUACGGGAGGCAGCAGUGGGGAAUAUUGGACAAUGGGCGCAAGCCUGAUCCAGCCAUACCGCGGGGGUGAAGAAGGCCUUCGGGUUGUAAAGCCCUUUUGUUGGGAAAGAAAAGCAGCAGGUUAAUACCCCGCUGUUCUGACGGUACCCAAAGAAUAAGCGCCGGCUAACUUCGUGC
rnacentral:rRNA from 1 species